GGCCGUGUGGUGUAGUGGUAGCAUACUUGCUUUGGGAUGUCUAUCUAAAGACUUGCAAGUGGUCCCAGGUUCGAGCCCUGGCUCGGCCC